UACGUAGGGUGCAAGCGUUGUCCGGAAUUCUGGGGCGUAAAGAGCUUGUAGGCGGUUUGUCGCGUCUGCUGUGAAAUUUCGGGGCUCAACCCCGAACUUGCAGUGGGUACGGGCAGACUAGAGUGUGGUAGGGGAGACUGGAAUUCCUGGUGUAGCGGUGAAAUGCGCAGAUAUCAGGAGGAACACCGAUGGCGAAGGCAGGUCUCUGGGCCAUAACUGACGCUGAGAAGCGAAAGCAUGGGGAGCGAACAGG
rnacentral:rRNA from 1 species